UACGUAGGGUGCAAGCGUUGUCCGGAAUUAUUGGGCGUAAAGAGCUCGUAGGCGGUUUGUUGCGUCGGCUGUGAAAUCCCGAGGCUCAACCUCGGGUCUGCAGUCGAUACGAGCAAACUAGAGUGUUGCAGGGGAGACUGGAAUUCCUGGUGUAGCGGUGAAAUGCGCAGAUAUCAGGAGGAACACCGGUGGCGAAGGCGGGUCUCUGGGCAAUAACUGACGCUGAGGAGCGAAAGCGUGGGGAGCGAACAGG
rnacentral:rRNA from 1 species